UGUUACUUGUUAGUAUGGCGGUCGGCUU
rnacentral:sRNA from 1 species